rnacentral:rRNA from 1 species
UACGUAGGGUGCAAGCGUUAAUCGGAAUUACUGGGCGUAAAGCGUGCGCAGGCGGUUCUAUAAGACAGAUGUGAAAUCCCCGGGCUCAACCUGGGAACUGCAUUUGUGACUGUAGAGCUGGAGUACGGCAGAGGGGGAUGGAAUUCCGCGUGUAGCAGUGAAAUGCGUAGAUAUGCGGAGGAACACCGAUGGCGAAGGCAAUCCCCUGGGCCUGUACUGACGCUGAGGUGCGAAAGCGUGGGGAGCAAACAGG